GCUCCUACGGGGCGCAGCAGUAGGGAAUCUUCCACAAUGGACGAAAGUCUGAUGGAGCAACGCCGCGUGAGUGAAGAAGGGUUUCGGCUCGUAAAGCUCUGUUGGUAGUGAAGAAAGAUAGAGGUAGUAACUGGCCUUUAUUUGACGGUAAUUACUUAGAAAGUCACGGCUAACUACGUGCCCGCAGCCGCGGUAAUACGGAGGUGGCAAGCGUUGUCCGGAUUUUUUGGGCGUAAAGCGAGGGCAGGCGGUU
rnacentral:rRNA from 1 species